UAAUACGUAGGUGGCAAGCGUUAUCCGGAAUUACUGGGCGUAAAGCGCACGCAGGUGGCGGCUUAAGUCUGACGUGAAAGCUCCUGGCUUAACUGGGAGAGGUCGUUGGAGACUGGGCGGCUUGAGGCGAGGAGAGGGGUGUAGAAUUCCCGGUGUAGUGGUGGAAUGCGUAGAGAUCGGGAGGAAUACCAGUGGCGAAAGCGGCACCCUGGCCUUGGCCUGACGCUCAGGUGCGAAAGCGUGGGGAGCGAACGGG
rnacentral:rRNA from 1 species